CUGCACCGCCCCGCUCUGAGGUACCUCAGAACUUCCCGCCGAAACGCUGCAGCUGAGCGUGAGCUGUGCUGUGCUCCCUGAGGCACCUCUGUGUCUCCUGACUGAACGCUGCUGUUGACCCCUCGGAGGCAUUUCUAGCACUGUUGCCCUGUCGAGGCUUGGUCUUACCUCUGUUUCCCGAGCAACGCCCAGCACUUAGAAGCAUCCCAGCACUGCCCCUACACUAAUUUCUCCCAUGCAGGCCUGUGUGCCUGCACAGCUGUGUCACUAAGGAGUGUGAUGGCCACCCCCAGAGCUCACAGACAUUCAUCAGAGGGAGAAAGCCACCAGGUCCUGCACAAGGUUCUUUUCUUACGCCUGACCUGCUUUUGCCCAACAGUGAGGUGGGCAUUGCUUUGGAGAGUUCUGUCAUCAGCCUACCAAGCUGCAGCUGCAAGCAGUCCAAAGCACUGACCCAAAUCCAGCUGACGCUGUCAUCGAUAAGAUCCAAAGCUCUUUACAGCUCACAGGCUGUGAGCUGUUCAGGUCAACUACUGCUUUGUAGGUGGGCAUGGUGGUGGUGUGUCAGUGGUUGGACUUGAUGAUCUUAGUGGUCUUUUCCAGUGUUAAUACUCCUGUGAUUCAAUGACUUUUACUGUGAAAACUUUCACAGCCCUGCCUGAAAGGAGUCUAGCUCUUACCACAGUCUCUUACCAUGGCUGCCUGGAGGCUGUGCAUCCCUCCCCAGUUAUAUAUAAGACACACAUGCACAAAGGGAAGGAAGUUUGGAUCAUCAGUUCAUUUCCAGCCACACUGAGGAAGCCCUGUAGCACAGGAUUUGUUGGAAGAUUUUUUUUUUUUAAUUAUAGUUGUCUACAUUGUCUUUCUUUACCUGUUGGUUGUGUUGAUUUACUCACCUUGCGCCUCUCUGAGAAAAAGCCCUUAAUGUUUUGUUAUCAGGGAGCUCCUAGUCCUAAGGGCAGUGAUCUGCCUGCUCCAUGGUGAGCUGUGACAACUCUUGCCUGCGGGAUGUUGAUCAUCUUUAAUUGCUGCUGCGUCAGCAGUCACAUCAGGCUGCAUCAGAUGACAGAAUGAGACGUUACUGACAGAAGGCAUAGUUCUGUAAUCCCUGCAAAUCCCACCCCCCCCCCCUCCUUCACCUGAGCCCUUUGCGUUCACAGUCUGGAUUUACCAACCAUCUGUGAAGAGCUUUCAGAGGAUAAAAGCAGCAUUAAUGGUUUGACCCCAAUGAAGGCAUCAGUUGCCUGUGAUCUCUAAGAGCCCAGUUCAGCAGGAGCUCAGAGCUUAGUCUGUCUUCUGUGUUUGCUGAUACUCAACACUGCAGAUUGCCAAGGGACUCACUGGUAUGAGAUUAUCCAUUAGAGGAAAACUAGAGAGGAGAUUGUUCUGGAAUACAGACUGCUUCUAAAUGCUCCUGAGUGGCGUCGAAAUGGGGGGACCAGCCUCAAUGAUGUGCCUAAGGACUUGCUAUAUAGAAGACUGUAAACCAUUCCAUUUCACUGGAAACCCACCUGACCUGGGACAAUCCCAUCUCUCCAGGAACUGCUCUUACUCUCACAUGACAAUGAAGCAAAAGCGGUCGAAUAGUAUUAGCAUAUGUAUCUUGCCCAUCAUCCCAGAGUAUCCAGGUUUCCAAGACAUUAAGGUCUGUAUGCAAAAACUGUCUUUGAAAUGUAUAGCAUUUCAACUUACUACUCUAAGUAAGUUGAUAUGUGAUGUGCUAAUAAAUUUUGGACUAUGUUUUGAUAUAGAAAAGCUUAACUUUAAAGAAUUGUACUCCAUUACAUUAUCAAGUUGAGAUUAUUUAAACAUUUUUUAAAAGUUUAAUGUGGGAAGGAAAAACUACUUUUUAUUCAAGUUUUAGUGUUCUUCAGUUACCUAACUGACUCCAGAAGUAUAAUCACUUUAGACAGGAUCAUUAAUUUUUCUGGGUCUCUUCCAGAAUGUGAUGGAAUAGUGAGAGAUCAAAAACUUGAUCGCUUGUUGGUUUACAUGGCCUGUCCAACCCACUAGUCCUGGUUUGUGCUCAAUGUUUUCCAUUCAUCAUUAGUAAGCAGCUUGCCAGCUUGCUGAUGAUGGAGUGCCCUACUGAGACACUGAUGGGCUCUGAGACCAGAUUUGUGGCUGAAUCCUUAGCAAGUAUCUUAAUUAGCAAUUGCAAAAAGCUGCUUGAAUGAUCAUUUUGUGAUACCAAAGGCAUUGUCAGGCAUAAUAAAUGAGUGCAAAAUGUUCCAUGGUCCAGCUGUGAAACAUUACUGUCUACAUACAGUGUAGUUUUUCUUUUUAUUGAUUUGAAAGAGUAAUAUAAUGCAAAACAGUUCUUCCAUCAAGCUGAACAGCUAAGAUUUUUCAAAGAAAAAGCCAUGGUCUAGCCUAAUUUGGUGAGCUGAAACCAUCUGGCAGCUUAAGACAGACUGGGAUGUCUUGGAGUAUAUGUGAGGAAGAUGGAAAUGGCAGAGCAGUAACUUCAAGAGCCCAGGGGACAUUUAACUCUGGGCAUGGAAAGGCAAUCUUUUAUGUGAUGAAUUUCUAGCAAAUUGUUUUUGCACUCACUGAUUUCCCUCCCAGUCAGUAAAAAGACUCACAGCAUGGGUGUUCCCCUGAAGUCAACGGAGAGACACCCACUGAUGUCAAUGGGAGUCGAGUCAGGCCUUUGGCUAUUCAAGUAGCUGAGGUAUUAAAAUGGUUGACAGGAAGAAAGGCACCCUAUGAUAGGAAAGGAGAAGAAAACUCCAUGCACGUCUGUGAUGUACCACAGGGUAAUAACAAUAAACUUCAUAGUUUUAGGAUGUAGAAAUACAUCCCAUGUGAAAAUUGCUUUUCUGGUAAUAAUACACUGCAAUUCACAGCAGAGUAAGGAAAGGAAAAAAAAAAGAAGAAAAAAUUCUUACAAUAGGAAUACAUUUUAAUCACAGGACACUGCACCUACAGGCUAACAAGAUUUGAAAAGGACAGAUUUGAAGUUCUCUUAAUACAGACAGGUGAGAGAUUCUUUUAGAAAAUUAGGUUUUCAGAGAGGCUACACAAAAUUGUAGCAGUACAUCAGAGUCAGAGGUCAGCAUUGUUUAACCUCAGACCAAAGCAUUUAUUUUCCAGAGAGGGAUAAGAAUUAGAGUCCCCAGGGAAUUCAGGUUAAGAACCUGAAAUGUUUCCCAACAGCUGUUUACUGUGAGGAACCAUAAGAUCUUUUUCUACAUAAACCAGCACAUUUUAAUACAGACUCCCUUCACCCUUCUGCCCCACUCCUGCCUCUCUCCUUCCCCUUUUAAACAGUUAUCAAGAAAUUAUCCUGAAACUCGAGGCUUCAACCGGCUUUUCCAGGAUUGGGAAAGAGGAAAGAGCUCUUCCUCACAGCUGAAUGAUUUUCCAAACACAGCUUCGUUAGCCCAUUGCUUGGGGGGCCCCUCAAGAGGCUACAUGAAGGGCCAACUGGCACACAGCAGUGGCUUCCACGACAAACCCUUGCAAGAGUACUUCAAUGAGAGGCUGAUGGAGCUCAGGAACUAUGAAAGUAAGAGGUCCAAUAGGAAGACAAAGGGAUUUCCAGACAAGAACCAAAACCCCUUCCUCACCCACAGGGGAUCUCGGCGCAGAAGUAGUUGCAGUGCUGUGGUAAUGGUUGGGUAUAAGGAGACAGAAGAAUCCUGCAGCUCAGCAAAUCAAGAAAACAGAAAAGGGACAGAACACAGUGCUCAAAAGGAAACCCAGAAUGUCCUGGACCUCUACAAGGGUGACUUUUUGGACAUUUUAACAAUGCACAUCGCUGCUCCUCUAGAAGCAUUUGUGCAAAAAAAGUAAUGCUGGAGCUGUUUACAGCCAGUCCUGCAGUCCUCCAAGUGAAGAAUCGUUCCUGUUCAGUCCUGUCGUGACUUAGUAGUUCAUGUGUGUUAGUUCAUUCUAAUGCAGAAAUAUGUUUGUGGGACAAUGUUCUUCACUGACAGGGCAUACCUUUGUUUUUGAUUAUUUUCCUCUAAGAGUCAGUAAAAAUAAGGGAUACUCUUGAAUUACCAUACACAGAGAGCGCUGUUCUAAAUGCACACAUUACUUGAAUCCUUAAGUUGCCUUAAAAAAGAGUGAUUAGUUUCAGUGGAGCAGUGUGGUUUCCCAUUGGUAGCACGUAGUUUCCAUUAGCUAAUCUGAAGAAACAAUAUUGUGUCCUGCCAAGUUACUUUGCUUGUUUUAAGCUUUCUUGUUUUUUUAACUUAUCACUUUGACCCAUUCAAUCUAUGCUAUGUUUUGCAUGGAUGUGAACUACUUGAUAAGAAAUGUUUGAUUUUGUCUUGUUGCCACAUGUUAUAAUCACCAGGAAGAUCCUUGUAACAGUGUCUGACACUUGAAGAACACCGAUGUAAGCUUCAUUUUUAAAUCUGAUCACCACUGUGGUUUCAUGUGCAUACUCACAAACCUUUGACUUAAAAAGCACUGCAAGUGCAAAGAGGAAGGAAUGCUGCGUUUUAGUGAGAAUUAGGGAUGUAAUUAUGUAGGUAGGAUCUGUCCCACUUUCCUGUUGUAAAUGUGAGGUCAAUAUGGCAAAUUCUUAAUGCAAUCUGAGUUUCAAAUUGUUUAUUGUGUAUAAACUUUGUGUUUAUAGUGGUCAUCUAAGUAUACAAUGUCAGCUGCAGACAGAUUUUUCUACUACAUAGAAUGUCAAUGUUUAGUUCUACAGAGCAUUGAAUAUCAGGCCCAAAGCUGGGCAACUAGUUUAAGCUUCCAAAAAGCACUAUUGCCUGUAGUAUUAUUAGCAAUAAAGUCAUCAUUACAGUGCUAGUUUGAGCUGAUGUUUCUUUGUUUUCAGAUGUUUUUCAAUGUGAGUUAACAAGUAAGAGGAGCCGGAGGAAUUAGGUAAUUAAUAUAUCAAUUUGCUAAUUCCUACUAGCAGAAUGGAGCAACAGCAGGACAGGCAACAGCAGCUUUCAGUCAAAAUGCAAGAACAAAACCCUCCUGCCAGUCCCUUCAGGAAACAACUAAGAGCUUUCACCCUAGAAAGGAAAGGAAACAGAUCAGAUUUAUUCCACAUCCUUUUCCCAGUCCUGGGAUCAAUAGCAUCUUAGUGAACUGACACGGGAUACUGAAAGCUCCAGCUCCUUUGUGCAUGGGAAAAAGCAUUAUAUACUGAGCCUAAGGGAUUUUUUUUCAGAAUUCACAGGUUGCCAUACCACUGCGAAUAGCAAGGUGUAGCCAAUUAGGUGAUUUUUUUUCCCUAAAGGAAAAUAUUUAUUUUAGACUUAAAUGAAAGUCUGACACCUAAGGUAUUAGCAGAUGCCACAGAGGGAAUGGAUCUGGUUUCCAUUGUAAAUCUGCCAGAGGUUAGUUUCUCUUCUGGGUGUGUAUGCAUCAUAAUAACAUAGCAUUAUGUGAGGGCAUAAUAAUAACAGUGCAUAGAGAGCAAUAUUAAUGGGAUACAAGCAACUCUAAUUCUUGCGUUUCUUGAGUGUAUGGCUUUACACCUUUGAAUGCAUGCUUCUAAAAUAUAGUUUUACAAGUCAUUUCCUACCUGCAAAGUCCCUUAAAAACAGCAACCAGCCUUCCUCCCUCUUCCUGAUAUUUAAUCUUUAUCACACUGCAAUGACCCCAGAUUAGCAGGUCUGGAGCAUCCUGAGUCUCUCUGCAGACCUUUGCCAUAUAAGCUAACAGAGGUACAUGGAGCCCUGCACCGUUAGGAUAUUACUGAAGUUUGCUGGCAGCAGAGGAACACACUUUCCUUUAAUUAAGGCAUAAUGUAAUGGUGCUAAACUAUACAUACAUACAUAUAUAAACUAUAUAUUAAACAAAUAUACACAAACUAUAUAGUAAACUGUAUAUAGUUUAUAUAUAUAUAUGUAUAUAUAAUGAAAAUAUGGUAAGUAAGCGUCUGUAAAUGGCUUACUUCAGCUGCUCAGCCUCUGCAGCAGUUUCCCUUCUCUAUUCAUGACAAAUCAAAGCACUAAUUGUUAACAGGCCCUAUUUUCAUUUUAUUUUAUUUUUUACUUUUAUGGUAUACUGGUUAUGAAAAAGAAUUACAAAAUCCAGUAAUUAAGACUCAGACUUGGCAGAAAUUUGUAUUGUCUCCUCUCCCAGAAGCACCCCGUAUAUUUCAAAUUGCAGCGUCUGGUCCAUUUAUGGUAUUUUUCAUCUGUGAAAACCUCUAAGGGAUUCAAAAAGUUGACUUUUUUUUUUUUUUUUUAAUUGGAUUUCUUUCAAAAUAAUGUAAUGACUUUUCUCUGAGAAGUUGCACAUCUCAUGCCAGAAAAAGUGGAAAAGUCUAAGGAAGAUUACAUCUCUCAAGAGAGAGCAUAGUUAGAUGUUGCUUUACAGAAAGGACAUCAGGAUACAGAGAGAGCAGAACACCAAGAACUGCUAGAGAAGUAAUAAAACUUCAUCUGACAUUCUCCCAGAUUUUUAAAAUCUGGUGAAAAAUGGCUUGGGUUUGUUCGGAAAGUGAUGAUAUGCAUGACCUGAAUUUACAUAGUCUAUUACCUUAGGUUUUAGUGAGUCCAGCUGUUGGGUGUAGCUGCUGCUUUCAUGCAGAUAUGCAGAUAAUCUGUUUUCACAAUGUUCUGUUGUGAAACUUGCUGCAAACACUGUUUGCCAUUUGCAGGUUUGUAAAAAUAUUUUUUCUGCCUCUUUGAAAAAUGUCCAUCAUUUCUCAUAAAGAAAAAGCACUGCACCACUUUCCUGCUAGUGAUUUUGUAGCUUGUCUUUGCCUUUGUUUUAAAUCCUUCAUGUACAGAAUACUGAAGAGCACAUUCUGAUGGUUAUUGUCAUUUUCCUUCUCCAAACGUUUUCUCUCAGCCUAAUUGAAGCUUAGACAACAUCCUCUAUAUGCCCUCAUAAACCAGAUAGUGCUCGGCUUCAAAAAAUAGUUUGUAUCUUCCGAAGCCGCCAUCCCUACUAGUGAUUGUGUCAUCCUUUCCUUGAACCCGUCUUUAAGGCCAUAGAGCUGUGUUGGUGAUAGUUCAUAUUGCAGAGGAAGGCAGAGGGCAUAAGGAUGUAAGGCAGGGGAAGGAGGUCUCAGGGAAAACACAAUCUUGCUUUUAGAUCAGAAUCUAAACUGCUGCAAAGUAAUAUGGACUCUCAAGUUUGGUUUUCAGUUCCCUUACUCUCCAUGAAGAUACGGUGAGAUAGAAAAUAAAAAGGAUGGUAUUAUUGAAACAUAUUCCACUCUCACUGAGGUCAUCUUCAAGAUCCCAAGGAAUUAAGGAAGAUGAUUAUAUGCCUCAUUAAAGCAAUACAUAUAGUUUUCAAGUAUUUAAAUUAUUUAUUUAAAAAAAAAGAAGAAAAAAAAAAAAACAAAGCCAAAAAACAAUUAAAACAGUGGUUUGAUCUAGAUACAGCAGCACUGUGACAUUACUAGGACAUUAUGUACGAAGAACCCAAGCAGCCAUAGAACACAGAAGCCUUUAUCUCCAAUAACAAUCUCAAAUGAAACUAGCUUCAUCAAACAAUGUUAAAGAUCUCCCUGGAAAGAGAAACAAAACCAAACAGCCCCUCCCCACCCCUAACCCUUUGGAUACUAGGAUGAUUUUUUGUACAAUACCAACAGCCACUAGCUCUUCUAGUUGAGAACACUUGCUUGAAUUUAUUACAAAAAUGAUCUGUUGACUCAGUUAUGAAAGACAACUUUAAACAUUGCUUUAGAAGUGUCUGCUCCUCUUAUAGACUAUAGUAUUAGAAGUGCUUAAAAACAUUUAAUCCUGAAUAUGCUUUUGAAAUUCAAUCAGAAGGAUAUUCUGUGUGUUUAUAUACCAAAUAUGACUUUUAGUUUUUGAAGCAGGUGAAAAGACUAACCCUAGUAUGAAACUGCAAAUUUACAAUUUAAUUAUUAGUCAGAUAUGGCCAACCACAUGAUAAUUCAUGAAAUCUUUAGGUCUAUCUACAUUGCUCAGAAACACAAAAUAAAGUUUUUACAACUUUCACCUUCAUAAGGCUAAAAUGUUAAGUCUUUCAGAAGAGUGUCCAGUGUUGAAAAGAAAUGCAAUUAAGGGAGACCGCAUUCUGUAUGUAUGAAAUAACCCAUUUCAGCUUGCUAAUUAAUGUACUUGGGAUGAUGAGAAAGAAAAUACAUAUUUGUCAUCCAGCCACUACAGGAAAAGUUCGUUUUCUGGGAGUUAAUCUUCUCUACAGGACCACUGAUUUUCCAGAAAGCAUGGAGGUCCCCUUUGGAGUCCGCUGAUCCCAGCAAUGUGGUCGCCUCUGACCCGAUGUUUGCCAUGCAUGCAUCCUUGUGUCUUCACACAGCAUUUCAUUUAAUUGGCACCUACAAAUUUAUUUGCAGGCUUGGCCAAAAAAGAGAAAGAUUGUGAUGUUGAGCCAGUGAGAGUUAUUCUGUCCCCUUCCUCUUAGCUUUGUCUUUCCAUCAUAAAAAAGAGGAAGUGUUCAUCUGAAUGCUGCAAUUACUAGCUAGCACUUAAAUAAGAAAUUAAUACCUUAACAUUUGCACUGGAUUCUCAUCUUCUGUUGGAGAUGGCUUUACAGAAGUGAAGUGCAUUCUUUUUCAAUAUCUCUAAGGAACUAAGACAAACCAACAGUAAAAAAGAGCCCUUAUUUACAAGAGUCAUCUCCCACACCACGUAAAUAAGAGCAGCUACAUUAGAUCUAUUUCACUUAAAUAAUACAAAGAGUUGAUACUGAUCUGUUCUGUGCACAGACUCCCUAGUGCUUUCUAUCAACAGAUAGAGAGCAUCUCUCCAUGUUUAGAAAUGGGAAAGCAAAAUUGCAAAGAGGCUUCUCCAGGGCAGUGAUGUAAAACAUGAGCACAGAAGGAACAAGAUCCACCACUUCUGGCUCCAAGUACAUAAAACAAGGAGAAUACUUUUGCACAAGCAGUAAUAUUCAUUUUAGUACAUGGGCAACAAUCUGUUUCAAAUCAUUUCUUUCAUAAAACCCAUUUGUCAGCAUGCUAUCUAGGCUGAUUCAUCUGCAGCAGUUUGGAUUUGCGUUAUCAGAGAGAAGUCUGAGGGAGGUGAGCAUAUAAUACUGUAGCAUACUGUGGGCUUUUCUCUUUACUGGUAGUUUUCCUAAAGACAAAAAUAAUACUGCAACAUUCUCUGGACCAGUUUCUUCCUCUUUUUCAGCUAAGGACAGAACGUUAUCACCAGCCAGGACGAUAUAAGUAAUACUAUUCAGUAUUUCUAAAAGAGACUGUUUCCUGCCCAGCACAAGAAAGUGAGAAAUUCUUUUAAACUUUCAUAGUCCUUCAGCUUUAGCAUAAGAUUGUUACGCAUUAUUACUCUUCCUUUAAAUAAUUUUUAUAGUGUUUUAAAUUGCAAGCCAUAUGUGUGGAAGGCUUGACAGACAAUUCUGGAAUCGUCUGUUUUCCAUGGAGGUACUUGAACGAAAUCAUUGAACAAAUUCUCCCAGACUUCACUGCCAAAUGCACCUCCUUGAAGCCUGAGACAGAAUCGAGACCAUCUUCAGGCAGGAGAGCCUUUAAGUCUCUGGAUCCCACUUCAUUCACUGCCAGAUUUCUUUACUGUAGUGACAGACAAGGACUCCAAGUGGUGUUUAUGUGAGGUUGGCACCUGUUACCCAAGUAUUAUAAAUUUUACUCUGAACUUGUAGAGUUUCUGCAGGCCACUUUGUGCUUCAUGCUGUGCAUGUGAAGGAAGAUGGUCUGCAUCUGAGGAACAGAGCAACCUGGGGAUGUUCUAUCAAGCAAAGUCCAAUCUUUUCAAAGAUUGCAUGGGAAAUGCCUAGAAAUGUUUAACAAAUUAUUUCAUCUGCACUGAGAUAUCUAACAAAUUGUAAAUCUGAACCAAAAAAAGAUCACAGCUAUGGAGACGCAAUCUGUUCCAUAGAUAUCCAGGAGAAGAAGUGCUGUAAGGGUGUGUAUAAGGGUGUGCAUUUAUUGCUCUUCCAGAAAAGUCUACCUGGGAAACUCCUGGCUGAGGCUCAGUCACGUGGGAAUGCAGAGCUGUGUGAUGGCUGUUCCCACAGGCUGAAUGUGUACCUACUUUUCUGUUCAAACUGUUAUGUCAGCCCUCCUCCUAGAGAUGACAUUGACUUUGAGCCAUGGGCUCAACACUGUGUUUAAUAUGAAUUUGUGUAUGCAAUUUCAAGGUUGGUGAAAAAACUAUAAAUAACGUACGAUAACAAGGAAGAAUGUGCUGUGAUGUGUGAUAGUAACUGCCAUUUGACACAUGCUGAAGAUACACACAUAAAGGUGGUUUUCACUCUGUACUCCAGAGCUGACAUCCUUUCUGUCUUCCUUGUCCUUCUCAUGGUUUUAUUAAUAUUAAAGACUGCUUUUCUUGUCAGCUGAGGCAUCUCUGCUGAGUUGGAUUUAAAAUCUGAGGCUUUGACAGAGAAAGCAAAAAGUUCAAGUUAGGACUUGAGUUCUCCUUAAACAAAAUUAAGAAUGAAUGUCUUAGAAUCAGACACUUCCCUGUGUCAGCAAAGAAUGAUUUCCAGCUGCUGAUGGCACUCUUUGCUAUAGUUGCUGGUGGAAGGGAUGACUGCAAAACAAGAUGGGAUCACAUUGUUCUUAUGGAUACCUGACAUUGUCCCUGAACUGUCAAUUAGCAGCCCUCUCCAGACAUUGCAGUUUUGAGUUCUGCCUUUCAAUAACAUUCAGUUUGAUCUGCAGUAACCGGUACAAUUAUCUUCACCAGCUUCACAAGAUCCAGAUCAAGACUGCACAAAUAAGAGUUUAUUAUUUAGAAUCAUAGAAUCACCAAGGUUGGAAAAGACCUUCAAGAUACCUAGUCUAACCAUCCACCUACCACCAUUAUUUCCCCACUACACCACACCCUUAGUACCACAUCUAUAUCUUUCUUGAAAACCUCCAGGGACAGUGACUCAGCCACCUCCCGGGGCAGUCUGUUGCAGUGCCUGACCACUCUUUCAGGGCAGAAAUUGUUCCUAAUAUCCAACCUGACCCUCCCCUGGCACAACAUGAGGCCAUUCCCUCUAGACCUGUUGCUAAAUUUGUAAUUUGUUACUUUCCCUUCAUUACUCCUUUGUUUAAAAAACCUUUCAUACAACCAGAGAAUGGAAAAAUUCUAGAAGACUUAAUUCUUCUACAGAGACACUGUAGAAAAUGAAUGUUCAUCUGUAUCAAAAAGUGUGCAAACUAGUAACUGUUCAUCAAAUUAUUUAGUAAAGAUUUAAAAAUAAAGAAGAUGCUUGUACAAUUCAGGAUUAGACUGCAAAAGAUUUCUGAUUCUUAAAAUGAGCUGAGUUUGCUCAUCUGUCUACUUAAAACAAGCAGCUAGACCUGAACUUCUGCAUUUUUGAAAGAAUCUGUACUCUAACUGGAAAGAAGAUAGAAAAUUAAUCAGUUCGGAAAGCUAUUAAAUAACUACUACUUCCUACUCCUUUGCAAUGUGCUAACCCACAUCAAAACCUAUUCACUUUGAAUCAAAAU